AUAUUCCCUGCAGCCGAUGGAAUCAGGAAAGAGGCUUAUCCACUUUCGCCUUUGUCUUGGGUAUUGCCCUGAUGAAGGCCAGGUCCGCUCUACCAAGUCACAGUGGAAGGGUGGGCACUGAAAGUAUUGAGAGGCGAGAGGAGGAUGUCGGUCAAGAUGUGGCUCGGCUGCUAUCUUCGUCAUUUACAGACAUCUACAAUUCAACUUUCAAGUUGUGAGGUGAGAAUCAUGGAAAAGAUUCACCAGAUACCAUCUGGUGGUAUCUGAACUGAGCACUAAAGAAAAGUAAUUCUGAAAAAUGAAGAUGAAUAGACACUUCAGACAUCAGAUUCCGUGAUCUUUAAGAAUGGAUAUAUCUCCAAGGAAAUGUGAGAAGGUAUAGGUAUUAAAGAGCACACUUCAAUGACUGUUAGAUAUUAUUAGUGUAAAUUUCACUAAUCCUCAAAACCAGUCAAGAUGUUCAGAAGGAACUGGUAGCUGAAAGGGUUCUUGAUUUCUUUUAAGUACUGUUUAUUUAGACUUCUUAAAGUUAGAAAAAUAAAAGACUAGUUUAAAAAAAAAACCCAGCUGCUUUGUCAUGUGCAAGAAAAUAUAAAGACAAAAAUAUAAAGAUAAGAAAAAGGUAAUUUUUACCUAUGAAACUUAUUUUUUCAUUCAAGUCUAUACCAAAACUUUUCAGAAGAAAUGCAAUAAAGGUUUAGGAUAUGAGUAUCUUCAUCAGACUGUAAAAUAGCUACUUAUGAAAGUGUUUUAGGUGGUUAGUAGGAGGUUCAGUCAAUGGAGUAGGGAUAGGUCCUGGGUUCAAAAUCUGAUCUUAGCCACUGGAUAAAUUACUUAACCCUCCUGGUCUUACCAUUCUUCUUCCUUGAAACUACCCACAAUAUGGGUUCAAAGAUGGUCAGGUGAGGGUUUAAAAAAAGUGUUUGAGGGUUUUUAAAUUCUCCAAUGGACCUGGAAGCUUUGUCUUUAUUGAGGUGGUGAUGAACUCUUGAAAAAUGCUGUUACACUGAAUUAUUCUGGAAUUCUCAAACGGAGAUGAACACUAAAACAUAUUCUUUUGCCACAACACAAAAGAUUAAGAAAUCUGUCCAAGAGAUGGAAAAAAGUAUUUUUCAGUGGUCUUGAAACUUGCCUAAUUUAAAUUCCAAUGAAAACUUAUAGGCUACAAUCUGACUUUAUUAUGCUUACUAUCUAAUGUGUUAAAGUAUGGUUUCAUGUUAAAGAAUUAAAGAUUGUGUCAAAAUCUUGUGAAAUCAAUGCCAAAUCCUGUAGAACAAGUGAAUGACUCAAGAAAAACAGUGCAUUUACUAAACUUUUAAAAAGAUAUACAAAGUUGUGAAGUUUAUUGUCAUUAGGUCAAUCAAUUUAAUUUGACUCAGU